rnacentral:rRNA from 1 species
GAUGAACGCUGGCGGCGUGCCUAAUACAUGCAAGUCGAGCGAACGGACGAGAAGCUUGCUUUUCUGAUGUUAGCGGCGGACGGGUGAGUAACACGUGGAUAACCUACCUAUAAGACUGGGAUAACUUCGGGAAACCGGAGCUAAUACCGGAUAAUAUUUUGAACCGCAUGGUUCAAAAGUGAAAGACGGUCUUGCUGUCACUUAUAGAUGGAUCCGCGCUGCAUUAGCUAGUUGGUAAGGUAACGGCUUACCAAGGCAAUGAUGCAUAGCCGACCUGAGAGGGUGAUCGGCCACACUGGAACUGAGACACGGUCCAGACUCCUACGGAAGGCAGCAGUAGGGAAUCUUCCGCAAUGGGCGAAAGCCUGACGGAGCAACGCCGCGUGAGUGAUGAAGGUCUUCGGAUCGUAAAACUCUGUUAUUAGGGAAGAACAUAUGUGUAAGUAACUGUGCACAUCUUGACGGUACCUAAUCAGAAAGCCACGGCUAACUACGUG